rnacentral:rRNA from 1 species
UUGAAAAGAACUUUGAAGAGAGAGUUCAAGAGUACGUGAAACCGUUCAGGGGUAAACCUAAGAAACCCAAAAGAUCGAACGGGGAGAUUCAUCGUCAGCGGCGCUGGCUUCGCGUCGGUGGGCGAUGUCCCGCGGAGUCCUCGCGGCUCGCGCGCGGGCACGCUACCGUGCGCCGAUGUCCGGCUGUCGUCGUCGUGCACUUCUCCCCAAGUAGAACGUCGCGACCCGCUGGGUGUCGGUCUACGGCCCGGGUGCGGUGACUGUCGCGUCGCCGGUAAAACGGCACGCGACAAACCCCCGGUCGCCCGGCCGGCUGCUCGGCGGUACGCGCAAGGUAUCAGGCCGCACUUCUACACGGUGCGUCGAGGCCGUCGCAAGCGCGCGCCACGGUACUCGGAGGUUACGGACUUUGCGCCGUCCCCGGUCCUGGCCCGCUGUUGGUUAAAGUACGGAUCACCUUCGACAGGCCUGCGAACGUCUCUCUCACGGGGGACGGAUACCGGUCGGCGACGCUACUGCUUUGGGUACUCUUAGGACCCGUCUUGAAACACGGACCAAGGAGUCUAACAUGUACGCGAGUCAUUGGGACUUGUCGCGAGACCUAAAGGCGUAAUGAAAGUGAAGGUCGGCCCUGGCCGUCGACCGAGGGAGGAUGGGCCGCGUCGCGAUGCGGCCUCGCACUCCCGGGGCGUCUCGUUCUCAACGCGAGAAGAGGCGCACCCAGAGCGUACACGUUGGGACCCGAAAGAUGGUGAACUAUGCCUGGUCAGGACGAAGUCAGGGGAAACCCUGAUGGAGGUCCGUAGCGAUUCUGACGUGCAAAUCGAUCGUCGGAACUGGGUAUAGGGGCGAAAGACUAAUCGAACCAUCUAGUAGCUGGUUCCCUCCGAAGUUUCCCUCAGGAUAGCUGGCACUCGGCCGUUCCGCACGGAACGCGCGCGAGUCUCAUCUGGUAAAGCGAAUGAUUAGAGGCCUUGGGGCCGAAACGACCUCAACCUAUUCUCAAACUUUAAAUGGGUGAGAUCUCUGGCUUUCUUGAAUUAUGAAGCCACGAGCAUCUCGGAUCAGAGUGCCAAGUGGGCCAUUUUUGGUAAGCAGAACUGGCGCUGUGGGAUGAACCAAACGCAGAGUUAAGGCGCCCAACUCGACGCUCAUGGGACACCAUGAAAGGCGUUGGUUGCUUAAGACAGCAGGACGGUGGCCAUGGAAGUCGGAAUCCGCUAAGGAGUGUGUAACAACUCACCUGCCGAAGCAACUAGCCCUGAAAAUGGAUGGCGCUGAAGCGUCGAGCCUAUACUCUGCCGUCAGCGGCAAGUGGGGCGGCGACGGGAGCGUUGCGCGCGUCGGACCGCGUUUGCGGCUCUCUCGCGAGGCAAUCGUCUCCCUCGAGUCGUCACGAAGCCCUGACGAGUAGGAGGGUCGCGACGGUGAGCGCAGAAGGGUCU